GAACCGAUGGGCCCCCGUAUGGGGUCCGUGUUGGGCCUCGCCUCCCUCCGGGGGCGUCGCCUCGAACGGAUCGGUCGAGGCAGCGGACGUGAUCCAUCAGGACUGACCGUUCCGAGACCCGAAACAUCAG
rnacentral:misc_RNA from 1 species